UGGGGAAUCUUGCACAAUGGAGGAAACUCUGAUGCAGCGACGCCGCGUGAGCGAUGAAGCCCUUCGGGGUGUAAAGCUCUUUCGACGGGAACGAUAAUGACGGUACCCGAAGAAGAAGCUGCGGCUAACUACGUGCCAGCAGCCGCGGUAAUACGUAGGCAGCAAGCGUUGUUCGGAAUUACUGGGCGUAAAGAGUGCGUAGGCGGUGCUCUAAGUCUGGUGUGAAAUCUCCCGGCUCAACUGGGAGGGUGCGCCGGAAACUGGAGUGCUCGAGUGUGGGAGAGGUAAGCGGAAUUCCUGGUGUAGCGGUGAAAUGCGUAGAUAUCAGGAGGAACACCUGUGGUGUAGACAGCUUACUGGACCAUGACUGACGCUGAGGCACGAAAGCGUGGGUAGCAAACAGGAUUAGAUACCCCUGUAGUCC
rnacentral:rRNA from 1 species